UGAGGAAUAUUGCGCAAUGGAGGCAACUCUGACGCAGCAACGCCGCGUGGGUGAAGAAGGCUUUCGGGUUGUAAAGCCCUGUCAGGUGGGAAGAAACCUCCCUGGGUGAAUAGUUCAGGGAACUGACGGUACCACCAAAGGAAGCACCGGCUAACUCCGUGCCAGCAGCCGCGGUAAGACGGAGGGUGCAAGCGUUGUUCGGAAUCACUGGGCGUAAAGCGCGUGUAGGCGGUUCGAUUAGUCGAGUGUGAAAGCCCGAGGCUCAACUUCGGAAGCGCAUUCGAAACUGUCGGGCUUGAGUACGGGAGAGGGAAGUGGAAUUCCUGGUGUAGAGGUGAAAUUCGUAGAUAUCAGGAGGAACACCGGUGGCGAAGGCGGCUUCCUGGACCGAUACUGACGCUGAGACGCGAAAGCGUGGGGAGCAAACAGG
rnacentral:rRNA from 1 species